rnacentral:lncRNA from 1 species
CGAAUGGAAUCACCGAAUAGAAUCGAAUGGAAGAAUCAUUGAAUGGACUCAAAUGGAAUUAUCCUCAAAUGGAAUCGAAUGGAAAUAUCGAAUGCAAUCGAAUGGAAUUAUCAAAUGCAAUCGAAUAGAAUCAUCUAAUGGACUCGAAUGGAAUCAUAGAAUGGAAUGGAAUGGAAUAGUCAAUGAACUCGAAUGGAAUCAUCAUUGAAUGGAAUCGAAUGGAAUCAUCAUCAAAUGGAAUCUAAUGGAAUCAUUGAAUGGAAUUGAAUGGAAUCGUCAUCGAAUGAAUUGAAUGCAAUCAUCGAAUGGUCUCGAAUGGAAUCAUCUUCAAAUGGAAUGGAAUGGAAUCAUCGCAUAGAAUCGAAUGGAAUUAUCAUCGAAUGGACUAAAAUGGAAUCAACAUCAAACGGAAUCAAACUGAAUUAUUGAAUGGAAUCGAAGAUAAUCAUCGAAUGGACUCGAAUGGAAUCAUCUAAUGGAAUGGAAUGGAAUAAUCCAUGGACUCGAAUGCAAUCAUCUUCGAAUGGAAUCGAAUGGAAUCAUCGAAUGGACUCGAAGGGAAUAAUCAUUGAAAGGAAUCGAAUGGAAUCAUCAU